rnacentral:rRNA from 4 species
CCCCGAAAGCUAUUUAGGUAGCGCCUCGUGAAUUCAUCUCCGGGGGUAGAGCACUGUUUCGGCUAGGGGGCCAUCCCGGCUUACCAACCCGAUGCAAACUGCGAAUACCGGAGAAUGUUAUCACGGGAGACACACGGCGGGUGCUAACGUCCGUCGUGAAGAGGGAAACAACCCAGACCGCCAGCUAAGGUCCCAAAGUCAUGGUUAAGUGGGAAACGAUGUGGGAAGGCCCAGACAGCCAGGAUGUUGGCUUAGAAGCAGCCAUCAUUUAAAGAAAGCGUAAUAGCUCACUGGUCGAGUCGGCCUGCGCGGAAGAUGUAACGGGGCUAAACCAU